CACGUAGGGCGCAAGCGUUGUCCGGAAUUAUUGGGCGUAAAGAGCGUGUAGGCGGCUUGGCAAGUCCGCUGUGAAAACUCGAGGCUUAACCUCGAGAGGUCGGUGGAAACUGCCUAGCUAGAGUCCGGAAGAGGAGAGUGGAAUUCCUGGUGUAGCGGUGAAAUGCGCAGAUAUCAGGAAGAACACCCGUGGCUAAGGCGGCUCUCUAGUACGGUACUGACGCUGAGACGCGAAAGCGUGGGGAGCGAACAGG
rnacentral:rRNA from 1 species